GCAGAACCCGGCAUCCGCUACGAUUAACCAGCUCAUCGGCGGAUAAAGUACCACCAACCCCCCACCCCACUCCCUCUCCCACUCGAGGUGGCAGAAGGUUACUGAAAUUUGGUGUGCAAGAUAACAGACUUCACAUAUGUCAAGUGUUGCUUCAGAUCCUUGGCAAUCAGUGUUGCAGACCCACCUAAAUGUACCAAGAAUUACCAUCUUUUUGAAAAAUCUGAAGAACAUUUUUCCUUUUGCAUAAACCUUCAUGCUGUGCGAACCCUUCAUUUUUAGUAUUUCACAGCAACAGACUUUAAUAAAGAUAGCCAAAGUACAACUACCUCUGUCAACAUUAAGUUGAUAGAAACACAGCAAAUACGUUGGGAAUGACCAGAUCACAAGGAAGCCUUCCUCCCGGGAGGAAGGAGCACGAGGGCCGAGGGAAGAGAAGCAAAAAGAAAAUGGAAUUGGCAGUGAAAAGGACAUGUCUCCAUCGGUUGCCUAAACUAACAACUCUCCCAAACUAACAACUCUCAUUCAAAAACCAUCCGUGAGUCAGUGACAAACAUAUACUAAAAUAAAUCUAAAUUAAUGUGGAGAAAUUGACCAUUCCCAUGUCUUAAACCUUAGCAAUAAAACAAAAGAGGAUGAAUAGAGUGAGGUCUAAAAUUAAGAAGGUUAUGGAAGAGGGAUAUGAAAUAUGAGGGAAGUUAGCCAUUAAGUAUAUUUGAAUUUAGGUAGUAGAGUGUUUUGUUGCUAAGAGCCGAAGUUUCCAUGCUGUCCCAAGAGGCACUAAGCUUAGAUAGUAGGACAUUCAUUGAAUUCAACAAAUUCAUUCUUGAGUGCUCAAUUUUAAUGGAAAUGUCCAUAUUGUUGUGCCUGUGGUUGCUACUAUUCCUUCCAUGGGAGUUAUCCAUCAAGGGAAUACAGACCAAAAUGAUGAAUUUGCUUUUUGCAUGGGGUGGAUACACUGGGACUGCAUUCCGUAGGAUGGAUGAAAAUUUACCCUCUACCAGACAAAUGCUUCCAAGUUGCCCAGGAUUAAAAUCUGGAGGCCAUGGGAACUGUCUAAACCAUCUUUGUUGUUGAGUAUUGCAUAAAGCUGAUGAUAACCUGCAUAUCGAGAAUUCUAGCUGCAACUGGGCCUUCCAGUUAAAACCAGCAAUUGACAUUGCUUUCAGAAAAUAGGAAGUCAAAGUAGACUUCAGAGAACCAAGUGUGACACACUUGAUCUACUCAAUCUCAGGAGAGGUCAUCAAUCCUAAACCAUUCUGAAAAUGCAAGUAUUAGGUUCAUUCAGCAAGCUGGCUUGAGCAACUCCUCCCUACUGGGCAUUGUUGUAGGUGUUAGGAAUGAGGCAUUAAACCAUCGGAGCCUCUCCCUCUCCCUGGAUGCUUGCAUUACAGAGAAGACUUCCUUCUUGGCUGCAGUUCUGGAUGGCACGGGUGGAGGAGGAGUUGGCAACUAUGGAAAUUGCACACUUGCUGCGUUAUCUGAACGUGAAAUCAACCCCAAAUCCAAACAUAACAUUGUGAACCAAUUAGAGCAUAAACAAAGCUUUACAAUCCA